rnacentral:rRNA from 1 species
AACGAACGCUGGCGGCAUGCCUAACACAUGCAAGUCGAACGAGACCUUCGGGUCUAGUGGCGCACGGGUGCGUAACGCGUGGGAACCUGCCCUUAGGUUCGGAAUAACUCCCCAAAGGGGUGCUAAUACCGGAUAAUGUCUUCGGACCAAAGAUUUAUCGCCUUUGGAUGGGCCCGCGUUGGAUUAGCUAGUUGGUAGGGUAAAAGCCUACCAAGGCGACGAUCCAUAGCUGGUCUGAGAGGAUGAUCAGCCACACUGGGACUGAGACACGGCCCAGACUCCUACGGGAGGCAGCAGUGGGGAAUAUUGGACAAUGGGCGAAAGCCUGAUCCAGCAAUGCCGCGUGAGUGAUGAAGGCCUUAGGGUUGUAAAGCUCUUUUACCCGGGAUGAAAUGACAGUACCGGGAGAAUAAGCUCCGGCUAACUCCGUG